rnacentral:rRNA from 1 species
AUUGAACGCUGGCGGAAUGCUUUACACAUGCAAGUCGAACGGUAGAGGGGGCAACCCCUUGAGAGUGGCGAACGGGUGAGUAAUAUAUCGGAACGUGCCCAGUCGUGGGGAUAACGUAGCGAAAGCUACGCUAAUACCGCAUACGAUCUACGGAUGAAAGCGGGGGAUCGCAAGACCUCGCGCGAUUGGAGCGGCCGAUAUCAGAUUAGGUAGUUGGUGAGGUAAAGGCUCACCAAGCCGACGAUCUGUAGCUGGUCUGAGAGGAUGAUCAGCCACAUUGGGACUGAGACACGGCCCAAACUCCUACGGAGGCAGCAGUGGGGAAUUUUUGGACAAUGGCGCAAGCCCUGAUCCAGCAAUGCCGCGUGCAGGAUGAAGG